rnacentral:rRNA from 1 species
GGAUUAGGCAUGCAAGUCGCACGAGAAAGGUUUCUUCGGAAGCCGAGUACAGUGGCGAACGGGUGAGUAAUGCAUAGACAACUCGCCCUUGAGAUGGGGACAACGCCUCGAAAGGGGUGCUAAUACCCAAUGCCGCCUUGGGCCCGCGGGUCCAGGGUGAAAGGAGGCCUCUGAUUCAAGCUUCCGCUCAAGGAGAGGUUUAUGUCCUAUUAGCUAGUUGGCGGGGUAACGGCCCACCAAGGCUGCGAUGGGUAGCCGACCUGAGAGGGUGACCGGCCACAUUGGGACUGAGACACUGCCCAGACUCCUACGGGAGGCUGCAGUCGAGAAUCUUCCGCAAUGCGCGCAAGCGUGACGGAGCGACGCCGCGUGGGUGAUGAAGGCCUUCGGGUUGUAAAACCCUGUCAGCUACUACGAAACACGGGCGAUGAACAAUCGUCCCGUCUGACUUAAGUAGCAGAGGAAGCACCGGCUAACUACGUGCCAGCAGCCGCGGUAAUACGUAGGGUGCAAACGUUGUUCGGAAUCACUGGGCAUAAAGGGCGCGUAGGCGGUCUGAUAAGUCAGGUGUGAAAUCCCUCGGCCUAACCGAGGAACUGCAUUUGAUACUGUCGGGCUAGAGUACAGGAGGGGAGAGUGGAAUUCCUGGUGGAGCGGUGAAAUGCGUAGAUAUCAGGAGGAACGCCGGCGGCGAAAGCGACUCUCUGGCCUGUUUCUGACGCUGAGGCGCGAAAGCUAGGGGAGCAAACGGGAUUAGAUACCCCGGUAGUCCUAGCCCUAAACGAUGGGCACUAAGUAGAGGGGUUUU